rnacentral:rRNA from 1 species
UACGGAGGAUCCGAGCGUUAUCCGGAUUUAUUGGGUUUAAAGGGUGCGCAGGCGGGAAAUUAAGUCGGCGGUGAAAUUUUGCGGCUCAACUGUAAAAGUGCCUUCGAAACUGGUUUCCUUGAGUGUAGAUGAAGUAGGCGGAAUUUGUGGUGUAGCGGUGAAAUGCAUAGAUAUCACGAGGAACUCCGAUUGCGCAGGCAGCUUACUAAACUACUACUGACGCUCAGGCACGAAGGCGUGGGGAUCAAACAGGAUUAGAUACCCGUGUAGUCCCUGA